UACGUAGGGGGCUAGCGUUGUCCGGAUUUAUUGGGCGUAAAGAGCGUGUAGGCGGCCAGGUAGGUCUGCUGUGAAAACUCGAGGCUCAACCUCGAGACGUCGGCGGAAACCAUCUGGCUAGAGUCCGGAAGAGGAGAGUGGAAUUCCUGGUGUAGCGGUGAAAUGCGCAGAUAUCAGGAAGAACACCCGUGGCGAAGGCGGCUCUCUGGGACGGUACUGACGCUGAGACGCGAAAGCGUGGGGAGCGAACAG
rnacentral:rRNA from 1 species